UCCAUACUAGUAAUAGAUGCCUCCAUCUUUGUAAUCUUAUUGUUUGUGGCAAUCUGCGUGUCCUCCAACUGCCCAAGCUUGUCAUUCGUCACCUUCAAGUCGUCAUCAAGUCCCUCUGUGUGUAGCUUCACUUUCCUUUCACAAUGUUGUAUGAUGCCCUUAGUGCGAGGUGUAAGUGGUGUUUCGUUACCAUCAUCUGCCCCUGGCAUGGUUCAAAGACAAAGACAAUAAAAAGGCAAGUGAAGAAAUAAAAGCCCUACAACUACUAGGAUGUAGCUACAGCAAGUCGCUCACACUCAACCUGUAACACAAGUUCUUACCAAUUCUUACCUUGCUUGACAGGAGGGGUCGUCUGCCAACAAGUGUACAGCAAUGGACGAAGUGUAUCGGUGCUGCAGCACAAGACCUGUCAAGCUGUAGAGUAUGUGGAGCUAUAGGUGGGCUGAAACAAGGAACGAACUAGCACCACGUUAGUUAUAAAAGCGAGCUGAAUAAGCGUUCGACGAUGGUACUGUGCUGGUCCUAGCCUAGACCGUGCUAGAGACGUGAGCCUAGACACAAAGGGAAAACACAGCACACCACUAGAAACAAAAUGAGCAGCCCUACUGGAAACAAAAGGAACAACAAUCCCCUUUUUUUUGAUUUUUUUUUCUUUUUUCUUUCUUUCUUUCUUUUUUUUUAUUUUUUUUCUUUCUCUUUUCUUUUUUUUGGGGAACCUCAAAACCUGAUUAUAUAAACAAAAUAGUACAAAAUAUCACUUCACCACUCUCACCCUCUCACUAGAGUAAGGCUGAACCUCAAAAUUCAAUAUAUCUAGCACAAGUAUGAAGUGCUAUCUUUCCUUUUGGAUCACGUUGAUGGAAACGCAGAAUAGAACAACAAGUGGCUGCACCUAUUAUCAACAUCUACUCAAAUUCCAGCCCACAAUAGAUUGGACGCAGUUGUGACUAGAUGGUGACAAGAACUCAAAACUCUAAAGGACUAAACUAAAACCAGCACUGGACACGACCGAAGCAAACACUCAUUCAACCAGCCCUAACUAAGUAGUACUAGCCACGGCACAAAGGAUUUAUAGGAUUAUGGAAAACAAAUCUGCUAUAUUUUUUGUCUUUUUUUUGGACUAUAGGAAAAACAAACACGAAGAAUUGGAAAUCUCUCACCGAUAAACCUUGCUCUGAUUACCAACUGAUGCGAACCCGCUAGGGUUUUUGGCCUGAUCUUUCGAUGAGAGGCGCUGGAUAACUCGAUUAGUGGAUGGAGAUGACGUUCACGGCCCGACUACAGCCCUCAAGACCGCGCCUUAGCAACCGAUACACCACGUCCAACAGCCGUCACGAUCUUGUGGAGCGCGACAACUAGCCCCUAGGGCUCCCGUCCUGCAAGCAAUCGAAGAACUAGCAAGAACGAGGAAACAAGCACUGAAUUUGCAAGAUGAAUUGAAAGUUUUAAACUGAAUGUUAAUCAACAAUGGGGUUCCGAAGACAAGGAGACGGGCGGCUGAUCCUGCACGCGCGCCUACAAGCAAGUAGCGAAGGCUAAACUUGAUCUAAACAAAACCCUGUUGUUCAUGGCGGCUCUAUAUGUAAAUAAAUAGAGGGGAGGACGACCAAAGGGGUGCUAGAGUUGUCCUCCAACCCUAGGACGCGUCCCUAAUGGCCUCAACUUGAUACAUGGGCCAUUGGUCCAAAAUAGGGUGACACAGCACCAAAACAGAAAAAGGUGUCGGCACGAAAACAAGGACUGCGCCCGACUCAUAAGCUGCAUAGAUAUGUGGUUGGACCCAUUGGAAAGUAGACUUCAUGAGCUUUCCAACAAGUAUAGGAACGUCCCAGUUGGAGUCCAUAUGACGCCGCGGUGAUCCAUACAAGUUAGAGUUAUUUUCCAGUCCGAAUCCAACUCCCAAAACGUGUUGGGUUUGGACUCUUUGUUUCUUUGCUUUAGAAGCGACGUGGUAACUUGAUAGAGGAUGUUGUGG
rnacentral:lncRNA from 1 species